AAUCGUUUGCGUGUUACAUAAAAACAGUUGUUUCUGGCACCGUAAGGUUAGCACUGUCACGAUGCCACAAAGGACUACUUACGAUACGGGAAAACGUGUCUUAAAUGCGGAUUGAAGUCACGCUGUGCUAUAAUAUAAUUUUUGCACAGCAGGCGUAAAACCUUACACCCUUGCGUGAUCAGCACUCACGGGUGUAAAAUUUUACACUUCUGUAACAAAAAUUGCUAUUUUGUAACACACACGCAUGAUUUUUGUGUUCCCUAAAAAUAUGGACAAAAGUAGUAAUUAGCUAUACCGGCAGACGAUAAAAGUAGUAAAAUAAAAGUAUUCAUAACAAGUGAUCAAACUCGAAAGCGGUAAUUGAAAUAUUUUUCUAACAGCGUGCGAAAAAUAUACAUACAUAUCUAAUUUUUUGAGAAACAAACGAAAAUUUGUAUUAUGAGUUACAGAAAACAUGGUGUGUGUGCAUGCCCCUAGGCUCGGCGUUCGCUUCGAAAACAAACUCUGCUAGCCCCUUAACUUCCCUAACAGUUAUAGCGUUUUCGAAGCGGAUGCCAAGUUAUGGAAGCAUUCUUCUCAGAUAUCGAUAUCGCGUAUGCAUGCUAUUACAAUAUAAAUUAAACUAAAGCAUUACUGACUACCCAGUCCUUGUUAUCUAAUCUAUUUCUUAUUAAUCUUGUAUCAUAAUUGAUCUCAAAUAAAAAAAAGAAAUUUUUGAAUUAUAGGUGACAUUUAUUCAAAGUAAGGGUGGUUCUACUUUCCAUGACAUGGUCUACAAUGUCCUUCAUGGUGCCGUCAUGUCUGAUAAAGUUGCCUGCAAAUACAGCUUCUACGGACAGCAAAAGAAGGAAGCGUUCAAGGACCUUACUUUAUGCAGCUGCAUAUUUAUUGCAGUUUAAGGGGAAUUCCCGACGACUGGGACAGAUGACGAAAUAGAGAAAAGCAUUAAGAUGCGUUUGGACACGGCUACUACACGGGUUAAACGUUCGGAAACUGCCGGACAAAUACGAUCAAAGUCGUUCAUGCCGGUGUUACCUGAGUUUGAUGAAGAGGGGCAGGAAAGUGAUAAGGAGUAGAUACAAUUAUUAUUAAAAGAAAAAAAUUAUUCAAAAUAUUAUUGAAAAACUGUAAUAAUCAUAAGUUAAAUAAAUAGAAUAUGUGUAUUUUCAUAAAA